rnacentral:lncRNA from 1 species
UUUUGGGUCACGGCAUGCUUCACCACAACUAAGAUGAACUGGGCCUUUUCACACCUUCAAAGAUCUGUGGAACCCGGGGCUGGGGAUUUAGCUCAGUGGCACAGCGCCUGCCUGGCAAGUGCAAGGUCAUGAGUUCGAUUCCCGGUACCAGAAAACAAAACAAAACAAAGAUCUGUGGAACCCGAGUGGUCACUGAGCUGUUUCACCCACAGAAGGCUUGCAAGAUGCCCAGUAAUGAAGGGUGACACAGCUCCGUUUCCUGAAGUAGAUACCCAGAAGAGCUGACCCAUUGGUGGGCACAGACCUCUGACUUUGUGAAGAUGCAUAAAAUGAGCCAGAAUCUUCUUACUGUCAUUUUGAGGCCAUGAGGAAGGUGAGUAAAGAGGGGAAACUAUGACAAGAAAAAAACACAGGAAAGCAGAAGCAAGGUAGAGACAGAGGAGAU